rnacentral:lncRNA from 1 species
CCGAUAUUUCUCCAAUAUUCUCAGAAAAAUCUUGGCCCAAGUGUCAGCCCUACGAGCGCUUUCAAUAUCCACCAUGCACGUCUGAAAAACAAGAAGACAGGCUAAGGCCAGAUCGUCAAGAAAAAUGAAAGGAACAUAAAAGAAAAGUGAAACGUACCCUCAAGCCCAUGGAGGCCACUUCAUGCAUCAACUUAAUAUCAAGAACAUUUUGAAGAGCCUUGCUCUCGACCGCAAAACACAAGAGGUCAAACUGCAGCACCAGGUCCUCUGUAUCUCCCAAAAGGUUAAUAUCCGAUGUGAUCUCAAGAAUACGGGAUAGACCUUCUGUAUGAACCACCGGACGGGUAAGACCCUCUUCAAAUACCCUAACAUCAUCAGGGUCAAGAUCAGACUCAAAUUCAUAGUCAUCGACCACGACACCUUUUCCCUUUUUUUGCACCCGAGGAAGAAGCACGACCCGACGUCAAAGCUAAAGGCCCAUCAAAAGCAGUAACAACGGCCUCAAGGGUAUGACCCCCGUCAUGGCAGGUUGGUGGUCAAUCAUAGUGGCCAGGAUCUCCGUCGUUGGGGCAGACAUAAUGGCUGGCUCUGUAUCUACAAGAGGAACGACACCAACUCCCGCCUCAGACCCAAUCAUGGGGAGGUCAUCUUCUGGAUGUGCCACAGUCGAAGGAGCUAUUUUGGACUCCACUCACCGCCUCUUUGAUGGCCCCACCCCGUCUUCAGCACGAGAACAUUCCCCUAUUGGGUGGGUGAUGACUGGUGCCAACCCUGCACCACUAUAAAGUAACAGGAGCGGUCGAAGAAGCUUUUACCCAAGAUGGUCGCGAUCUAAUCCACAGGAGCUAGAAGUGGGAAUCGGAUUCCUAUCUAAACUAGUGAUGCGUAGUGCUCUUAAUUACUCUUCCAAUCAUCUUUUGGUUGGUUAUUACUUCUAAUAUUUAUGCUUAUGAUAAGCUAAAUUAAACAAAGAAUGAUUGCUUGUAAAGUUUUCUAAAUGGUUAAAGAGGCACUAGGGAAGUGACUUUCUCCUAGGUGAAUACUUGACGGAUUCUCGAAUCUAAGGCAAGUUGUCAUGUUGGAGAUUACGAUAUAACCGAUUCACGAAACUUCUCACUCUAUGCCUCUCGGUAGUUUGAGUAUUAACUUUCUCAAGACCAGUUGGGUGUAAUAAUUGUGCAAGCAAUUUAGGUUCAAGUCGAGUAUUACUAUCUCUAGGUUUAACCCUUUAAUUGGGGCUAUCAAUCUCUUAAAUACGCCCCAAUUCCCUGUUAGGCUAAUUUUCCUAGACUCAAGCUCUCUUUCUCAAGAAAAGCCCAAGUCAAAAAGGCACAAAUUAGUGUUUGCAACCACUAAUUCAACAUGGAAAAGAUAAAUUAGUCCAAAUAUCAAACAUCCAUAAACAUUCAAGCCUUAAAACUCAAGACUCAUUAAAUACCAACACUAGGGUUGAGCCACAACCCUAGCUAAUGGGUCUAGCCACUUAUAAUAAUGGAAUAAAACUGAUAAAUAGAUGAAGAAUAACCCAUAUGAUUUAAUUAUAAACUAAAAUAAAGAAGAUUCAGUGUUAAUCUAGCUACAAAUUACUCAAAACAGCCUAGUACAGCCGUUCACGUGCUCUGGUCUCGAACAGAUUACCAAAGAUGACCUAAAAAUGUGAAAAGAAAGUAUUUAUACUAGGCCAAAUUUUCUAGACAAAAAUACCCCUUACAAGGUAUUGCGGUCCGCACAAAAUACACCGGGGACCGCAAUGCGGCUUUUUAGCUCGAUAAUGCAUUCUCUGAAUAUAGCCACCAUGGUCCGCAUAAAGCGCACCGCGAUCGCGGUGGCUUUAACUGUGGUCCGCAUAAAAAGGACCGCGAACUGCAUUGGCCUUUAUCUCUAAAUUCCUAGCUCUCUCAACUCCCAUCUUUGCGGACUGCACAAAAUGGGUCCAAAAGUGCCUUAGGCUCCAAAAGUGCACCUCUCUGAAUCACCUCACUGCUGAUCGCACUAAAUGGCUUGCAGCGGCGGUGGGCCUAUUACAGCUGUGCUUUGACUUGUACAUGGUACUUGUGCAUGUUUCACUCCUUUUUGAGCUGGUUUUGACUAAUUGUCACUUUUAGACAAAACUUUGCGAACAAGUACAAUAUGUAAGCCUUUGAGAUUAUUUUAUAUAUAUUUUUAAUCGAAACUCAAGUUAGAAAAUAGAAUAAAAUGAACUAGAAUCCCUAGUUAUCAGGUGAUAGGGGUCGGAAUCUCAAUUCUGGGAGUAGCCUCCGUAUGCACGGCCACGAGCGUAGACUUAACUGAAGCGACCCUCGACGAAGAUCUGGUAAUAGACCCUGAGGCAGGGCAAAUGGACAAUGAUGUAGGCUGAAGAAAUUCUAGUGGGGGAGCCCUCGCUCUCUGCACUCUCCCUGACAUCGAUGAACAUCACAUGAGCAACAAAGUUAAAACAAACUAUCAUAGAAGGACGACCAUGUGCGGACCCCUAUCGUAUGAGAAAGGACAACGUUCAUCCACUCGCGAAUACUGUCAAAGGGUACUGGGGUAGUUUCGCGGCUGUAAAAACAAAAAGCAGUUUUAAGUACUGCCCAAAGGAAAGCGGUCGAGCAUCAUUCCGACCAAAAGUAUAGAAACUUAUCUGCAAAAUUCCACUUCUCGGGGAACCCUGUAGGAUCCGCCAAAAGGUGCUCGAUCCGCACAUAGAAGUAAUUCUCGCAGAAACGACGGUUGACUCUGUCAUCCAUCUUUACCACCAGACUCUUCGUCCCUCGCUGGAGCAUAUGAAUCAUUGUGCCACGAAUGAGUUGUGGAGCAAAGAUAUUGAGUAUGUGCCUCAAAGUGAUCUCCCGACCAGCAAGCUCCGCAAACUUGAGCAGCAUGAUGAACAAUUUGUACGGGUACGACAAAAGUUGAGCCAGACAUACCACGUAGAAGUGGCAAAAAUCUACCACCAAGAGAGGGAGAGGAAGCGCGUACCCAACAAUAAAGGAGUAGGCAUAGAAUGUGCACCAACGUGGGCAGUCAAAAUGGACUAAUUCAUCCCCCAACGCCAGCAGCAUUUCAACAUGGUGAGAGAUUCCCCACCUGGCCUUCAAUUCUGCGAUCCCCUCCGCAUUUAUAACUGAAUAAAAGGUUCCGGCUCCUCCCCGACAAGACUGUGGAAAUCAUUCCAUGGUUUCCCAGGGUGAGGCAAGAUCUCAGCCGCUGUAGGAACCCCCUCAUAUUCCACCAUUUCUACCCCUCUAGUGGCAAGAACAUCACUUUCCGGCAUCGGAAUUGCAGUAGGAUGAUCGGCACGAGAAGAAUUACCGGCCAUUUUUAUCUAUUUGUAAAGGGUUGGAAGAAAGAAAAGAAGACUAGGACGAAAAGUUCUUGGCUAACAGGAGAAUAUAAAAUAUCUGAAGUAUCAGGACAAAAGAAGACUCACAAUUUUCUUUCAAGUAAAGGCAAAGAAGUGUGUCAAUCAAAUGGUACGCUCCUUCUAUUUAUAAGAGAUAUAAAUUCUCCGAGCACGAAAUUCAAGAGUCGCCAAUCGAAGCUGAUAAGGCACAAAACAGUUCAAUCCCCUGGGAACGUGUGUCAUAAUGGCGAUAACCACGAAUGACAUUUGAAGUUAAACAAUGCUUCGGUUCCAAAACGGCCGCGACAGUCCAAGAGCAUCGUAAGAGCGUCGUUAUAUCAUUCGAAUCUAAAAUCAUACCUAGAGGGUCGGUAGUAAGAUUUCUCUUAGAUAUGUAAAAAUCAUAAUCCUCUAAUCACAGUACCCGAUAAGUCGAAUGAUACUACUCAGGUAACACCAAAAACGGAGGUGGUAUGAAGAAGCAUUAACUCAUGAACAUAUAGAAGAUUCUGUGACAAUAUACAUAAACUUCCUAGAAAAGGGUUUUUUUUCUCUUUAUCCUCUCCUCUAUAAUUUUCAUAACAAAAGGAAGAUAAAAUCUUCUUCCCUACAUUAUGUAAAGGGAUGAUCACCAACAAUUGGGGAAAAAGGAAGCAAUAAAGUAUCAGUGAGAUUGAUUACUCCCAUGUUAUGUUAUACAUUAUUUUUUGAUUUGUUUACAUAUUUGAAAUUUCUAUGCUUAAUUAAGAUUUACUUUUUCAUCUUUAUUAAUUAAUUUAACAAAAAAUAUUUUUAUAUUUUUUUGGUCAAAUAAUUAGUUGCCAAAUUUCGUGUAUAAUUCUGUCAGUUAUCACUUCAAAACACAAAAGACAAGUAAGAUUGAAGUGGGCGAAAUAAAGUCAAACGCAUCGGCGAUAGCCGCCCGAGUAUUGACGGCGUCAAAAGAUGUUCAGGGCAAACUAACAAAAGCGUAGGACAAAAGCUGGAAUGCCGUUAUGUCAAUUUUCCUUUCGAUUGUUUCUGUUGCGAAUAUGAGAGUUUUUUUUUAACGAUAUUCAAUGCAAUAAUAGUGGUAAUAGAGUACAGCAAAGUAUGGACUAGUAGGUGAAUAUAUAUAUAUAUAUAUAUAUAUAUAUAUAUAUAUAUAUUAGUUCAGGCUGUGCUCGUGCCCAAUAGCUAUAUCAAAUAUUUUAGACUUCUCUUUUAAAUUUCGUGUGUAAUCAAAUAUUAUCAUUAUAAAAUAAAGUAUUAUAUACUUAGAGUAGUGUCAGUAUCGGCUUCAUGAUAAAUAAAAGAAGGCUCUUUCUUUAUGCCGACAAUUUAAGAGACUCAUUUUUUAGGAAUAAUAAAUUUAUAGGUUUUUUUGAAAGAAAUAUUAGAUUUGCUGUCACACCUCCUUUUGGCACUACAACCCCGCAAAAGGGCAUAGAUAAGGGAGUUUUUUCAAUUUAAAUGACAUUAUUCGAAAUGAGAUUAUUUAUUUAUUUAUUGCUUAGAGUCGCCACUUGGGAUGGUUUACUUUCCGGUGAAGUCACCAGUUUAUUUUAAAAUCCCAAAUCAAGGAAAUUUCGACUUUUCUUUUGAAGUCUGCAAACCAGAAAUUAUUAAGUAAGGAAUUCUAUUAACCUGAGGGAAGGUGAUAGGCACCCUCGGAUUCCGUGGUUCUAGCACGGUCCCUUAAACUAUUAGAAAUGGAUUAAUAUCUGAUUUUAAUACAUGUCAUCCUAUAGUGCAUUUUAAUUAUUUAAUGCUUUUAUUUAAUUUUAAGGAAUAUCACAACGUUAUUAAAACACGUCAGAAAUCACGUCACAUAAAUGCACCUGUAAUUUUGACAUAUUUUAACAUCGUUGAAAUUCGGAUUUGGAUCACAUAAAUGUGCACCCGAGUUUAGGAAAAUAGAUUAUUAAAAUACGUGCCUAAAGCAACUACGUGUUGUUAACUUUGCGAGGGCCAUGAAAAUUUCACUAAAUGGCGCGCCUCGAAUUCGAAGGAUUUUAAAUUAAUUAAGUGAGGGCCAUGUGUUUUGAGAUUUUAUUUGACAUGGCACGCCUCAAAUUAUUUCAGAGGGUUUUAUUUUUUUCCGAAGUUGUUAUAAUUAGGUUACAUGAAAUGCACCCCGAAUUUUAAAAAUUAGGCAUCAUAAUUAUGUUACGGGAAUUAUACCCAUAAUUACAAUAAUUUAUCAAUUAUGCCUAAAGCAAAGCUACGAAUAUUUAUGAUUUUUCUUUCUAUGUACAAGAUCGUAUAAAUUGGGUUGGAAUCAGUGCUGGCAGCUUGAAAUUCAUCAACUACCGGCGCCCAAUUGAAUCGACUUUCCAUGAGAUCGAAGUCCACUAGCACACAAAUGAAACUCAAGCUUUGAAGUAUUACACCCAUAAAUUCUAUCUCAACCAUCUGACUUUAAUAGCCAGUGACGAAAAAACAAAGAAAAACUAUAUGCUCCUUAAUCAAAUAGCUACUUGAUCCUUGUAGAUAAUUGGAUAUAGGCAGUAAACAAACAAACCACAAAUUAGAGCUAGUUCCUAUUGAAAUCAUUUACAGAUGCAUCAUCGUUAAUUCAUUUUAAGCUAAUUUCACCAAGCCAUAACUAAAGUGACAUCAAACACCACCAAACAAAAAUCACGGCAGCUAUAAUUGAGACCAAGGAGAACAAAACUUUCGAUUUUCAUUUUUCCACAUACAACGAGUUCAAACUCUGAAGUUUCAUAACAUACCUAGGUAUAGGCAAAAUAAGCCGAAGGCGAGGAACAAGGGUCUGAAGUAGAAGCUGCGACGAAAAACAAACAAGACAACAACAAUCGAAGCCGGAACCGUGAACCUCGACUCCUGAAUCGCACUCGUCAACACUCCGGACAGCAGCGAUUUCGACAACCUCAGCUUAACUCCAUAGCUUAAACCUUUCUCGUUCUCCUCACUGUUUUGGAGUUCCUGCUCUAUUUAUCGAUUGGGUGUGUGUGUUGUGGUUGUUUUCUGGUGGAAAUGGCUAGAAGAAAUGGAAGAAAGGCAUGUACAAGGGUGGUCGUUUUUACGUGAGGGAUGGAUGAAACUGCUCGAUGAUGAGGGGAGUUCUUCUAUGGUUGCUGUUGUUACAACAGGAAACCAUGGAAAGUCAUGUCCUACGAUGUUUAGCGGCUGAAGACGAGGGAUGAAGAAGCUGAAGGCUGGGAUUCAGGGGUGUGUUUUGCCGGCGAGUCCAUCGCAACAGUGAGAGUAGGGAGAUGAGGUGAAGGUCGGGCUGGUUGUUGUCGUGAUGAAGAGGGUGGAUGAUGGAGCUCUUUGUGUCUUGAAGAUGGAGGAAGAAGAACAACGAGAAUGGGGGUCCUCCUCUGUGAAUUGCGGCGCUCCUCCUUGUGUAUUGAGUGUAUGUAUUAUUAUAUAGUGUAGGGAUUAGGUUAGGGGGUAUCGGCUUAUGGAUUAUGGAUUAGGAAAUAGACUUGAGUUAUAUGGGUUUGGGUAUAAAAAUUAUGGUUUGGGCUACUCUGGUUUU